rnacentral:rRNA from 1 species
UAGGGAAUCUUCCGCAAUGGACGCAAGUCUGACGGAGCAACGCCGCGUGAGUGAAGAAGGAUUUCGGUUCGUAAAACUCUGUUGUUAGAGAAGAACAGCGCAUAGAGUAACUGUUAUGCGUGUGACGGUAUCUAACCAGAAAGCCACGGCUAACUACGUGCCAGCAGCCGCGGUAAUACGUAGGUGGCAAGCGUUGUCCGGAUUUAUUGGGCGUAAAGCGAGCGCAGGCGGUCAAUUAAGUCUGAUGUGAAAGCCCCCGGCUCAACCGGGGAGGGUCAUUGGAAACUGGUUGACUUGCGUGCAGAAGAGGAGAGUGGAAUUCCAUGUGUAGCGGUGAAAUGCGUAGAUAUAUGGUGGAACACCAGUGGCGAAGGCGACUCUCUGGUCUGUAACUGACGCUGAGGCUCGAAAGCGUGGGUAGCAAACAGG